rnacentral:lncRNA from 1 species
AUGAAACAAAAUCUGGAAGCUCUGCAGAGGAGAAAGGUCAAGGUACAGAUGGGUUUGAUGUUCAAAAUAGCGUUUUGGUCUUUUAUGGUUCUAGAGCAUCUACACAAUGCAGUUUUUUUUUUUUUUUUGCUGAUUUUCUGUUCUUUCAGACUUUACCUGGAAGUCAGGAUUGUUUUGAGUUACAGGUUUUUUCCAGGUGGUGUGUUUGGUCUACAUCACUGUGGUAAACCCAACAGGCACAGAAGUAUGUGGCUGAAUGCUUCGUCUGGAGUUUGGAUAUCUUCAGGGUGAAUUUGUCCUUUCCAGGUUAUUUUGGGACAUUCAUCAUACUCUCACUAGUCUGACAGUCUAUCUAUACACAG